UUAAGUAAUGUAAUCAUGUUUAUUCGGUCAAUGACCGGCAAAAUGUAAAAAUAUACCACACAACAGUCAAAUCAAAUGGGUGAGAUAAAAUAGUAACAUAACAAGGAGUCUCUAGAAUAAAAGGUUAUCAGCUGACUUGAACCAGGUCUUCAAGGCUCUCCAAAAUGCCACCAGAGUGGGGUCCAUCCAGAUCUCAGGGGAAACCGCUGCUAUACAGAAGACAUACUUUUGGGGUCCCAAUAGAUGGCAUUGUUUAAUCGAAGGAACCCAGAGCAUGCCAACCCUACAGGAUUGAAUUGGCCAGGCAGAUAUUAUGGGAGACAGGCGGUCCCUUCAGUAACAUCUGACUGUGUUGAUUCUGACCCUUGCAAAUUUGACCGUUUGCCAUAGAGGCUCAGUUCACACAACACAUUGAGCAAAGAUAGGCAGUCUAUAAGUCUUCAGCAGUCCCUAGUCCUGAGAACUUGGAAUCUCACCAUGUUUAUCCAAACCUUAGUGGUCGAUCUCCAUUUUAUACGGCAGUGUGAAUUCUUGUUUUUUUACUGCCAAAUAAAUAAAUCAAUAUAGUCUCUGGUCUCAAAGGAAAUCUUCAUCUAUCUGGGGGACUCUGUCAAGGUUGGUCAUGAGGAGGAGGAUGAAAUGGAGCAGGUACCAGCCACCCCAAGGAAGCUAUAAGUCACAAAUGAAAAAAGGCUGUGAAGCUACUAAUGCUUUCAUUUUUCAUCUCCAAUAAAAGCAUGCAGACUGGACUCCAAGCCAAGCCAACUUGACCAAGGUCAACCGUUGGGGUCAGUAAGCACGUUCUGUCCGGGUUCGGUGUGCUUGUUCUGAACUAGAACAAAGGGACAAAGAAAAGCUACUGAGAACAGCAAGAAUCUAGCUGCCAGGUUUUAUCUGCCACCACAGCCUAUGCUGUCUGAUGGAGUUAUAAUCCAACACAUGGGGAGAGCAGGAAGGACCAUUCUGCAGAUUGGGAGCCAAACCCCAAAUCUUGUGGACAGCUCCGCUAUGCAAGGUUAAACACUUUUAACAUUUCUUUCCCAAUGUGCCCCACAUCUGCAACAGGAGGAAAGGUGCCACUGACUCCAUUGUAAACAGAGAUGUGAGACCUCUUAAUUAUAAUUGGGAGAUCAAGGGUUAACCCUCCUCCAUGCAAGCCAUGAUAUCAAUCAGAUGGACUCCAACUCACACAGAUUUUUAAAAAAUCUUGCACACCCGGUUGAAACCACGUAACCCUCAUGGUUUGAUUGCAUCUUAGCAGAUCCAUGCUGUCUACCCCACCAUUCUCAAAGCCGACCUUGUCUGACCCUGGGCCCUUCUGAUGUCUUCUCCUCCAAAGAGAAAAA